ACUCAAAUGAAUUGACGGGGGUCCGCACAAGCGGUGGAACAUGUGGUUUAAUUCGACACUACGCGAGGAACCUUACCUAGACUUGACAUAUACUUGACCGCCAUAGAAAUAUGGUUUUCCAUACGCAAGUAUGGACAGGUAAACAGGUGCUGCAUGGCUGUCGUCAGCUCGUGUCGUGAGAUGUUGGGUUAAGUCCUUUAACGAGCGCAACUCCUGCCAUUAGUUGCAACUCCGCAAGGAGGCACUCUAAUGGGACUGCCUGGGAAACCAGGAGGAAGGUGGGAAUGACGUCAAGUCCGCAUGGUCCUUAUGUCUAGGGCGACACACGUGUUACAAUGGCUGGUACAAAGAGCAGCGAGCUCGUAAGAGUAAGCAAACCUCAUAAAGCCAGUCUAAGUUCGGAUUGAGGUCUGCAACUCGACCUCAUGAAGCUGAAAUCGCUAGUAAUCGCAUAUCAGAACGAUGCGGUGAAUACGUUCUCGGACCUUGCACACACCGCCCGU
rnacentral:rRNA from 1 species